AGAGUUUGAUCCUGGCUCAGGAUGAACGCUAGCGGCAGGCUUAAUACAUGCAAGUCGAGGGGUAACAUGGGUAGCAAUACCUGAUGACGACCGGCAAACGGGUGCGGAACACGUACGCAACCUUCCCAAAACUGGUGAAUAGCCCUCCGAAAGGAGGAUUAAUACACCGUACCAUAAUGAAGAGGCAUCUCUUUAUUAUUAUAGUCUUCGGGCGGUUUUGGAUGGGCGUGCGCCUGAUUAGGUAGUUGGCGGGGUAACGGCCCACCAAGCCUGCGAUCAGUAACUGGUGUGAGAGCACGACCAGUCACACGGGCACUGAGACACGGGCCCGACUCCUACGGGAGGCAGCAGUAAGGAAUAUUGGUCAAUGGACGAAAGUCUGAACCAGCCAUGCCGCGUGAAGGAUGAAGGUCCUCUGGAUUGUAAACUUCUUUUAUCUGGGACGAAAAAAGGGCUUUCUAGCUCACUUGACGGUACCAGAGGAAUAAGCACCGGCUAACUCCGUG
rnacentral:rRNA from 1 species